AUACUGCAUCAGCAAUAACAGCCAUUUGCGGAUAUAAGGGUGAAAGUGUUUUCUUUAAAGAGGAGGCGGAGUCACGAUCAGUAUAAAGUUGCUCAUAUAUUUGUUCUGAGCAGUAGUGUCUGAUGAGAAAGGCUCCAGUGGGCAUCCUUACUCUUACUUCUGCAGUGUUUUGAACAAGAGACGAGAUGGUGUGUUCUGGAGCGUUGGGAUUCAUCCUGCUCUUUCUGCUCCAUUCAGCUUCAGGGGUGGCCAAUCUCUAUAACAUCAUCAACUCCCUUCAUAACAAGUAUGGAGGUAAUUAUCAGUAUGCUUUGGGCAUUAAUGUCCCACGUAGAUAUUGUGAUCAAGUAGCUCUUCCUGACCAGAACUUCCUCCC